CGAAGCUGCUGGUUUUAAAACACUCCACCCCCCUUUUAAUCUCAGUGGCACUGGCUCGGAGUGGAUUAUUUGUGGCUCGUUAUCUGAGACCGUUUCCGAACCAAACUUCACAUAACAUAAAGGC